UGGGGAAUAUUGCACAAUGGGCGCAAGCCUGAUGCAGCCAUGCCGCGUGUAUGAAGAAGGCCUUCGGGUUGUAAAGUACUUUCAGCGGGGAGGAAGGGAGUAAAGUUAAUACCUUUGCUCAUUGACGUUACCCGCAGAAGAAGCACCGGCUAACUCCGGGCCAGCAGCCGCGGUAAUACGGAGGGUGCAAGCGUUAAUCGGAAUUACUGGGCGUAAAGCGCACGCAGGCGGUUGAUUGAGUCAGAUGUGAAAUCCCCGGGCUUAACCCGGGAAUUGCAUCUGAUACUGGUCAGCUAGAGUCUUGUAGAGGGGGGUAGAAUUCCAUGUGUAGCGGUGAAAUGCGUAGAGAUGUGGAGGAAUACCGGUGGCGAAGGCGGCCCCCUGGACAAAGACUGACGCUCAGGUGCGAAAGCGUGGGGAGCAAACAGG
rnacentral:rRNA from 1 species